rnacentral:rRNA from 1 species
AUUGAACGCUGGCGGCAGGCCUAACAUAUGCAAGUCGAGCGGUAGCACAGAGAGCUUGCUCUCGGGUGACGAGCGGCGGACGGGUGAGUAAUGUCUGGGAAACUGCCUGAUGGAGGGGGAUAACUACUGGAAACGGUAGCUAAUACCGCAUAACGUCGCAAGACCAAAGUGGGGGACCUUCGGGCCUCAUGCCAUCAGAUGUGCCCAGAUGGGAUUAGCUAGUAGGUGGGGUAAUGGCUCACCUAGGCGACGAUCCCUAGCUGGUCUGAGAGGAUGACCAGCCACACUGGAACUGAGACACGGUCCAGACUCCUACGGGAGGCAGCAGUGGGGAAUAUUGCACAAUGGGCGCAAGCCUGAUGCAGCCAUGCCGCGUGUGUGAAGAAGGCCUUCGGGUUGUAAAGCACUUUCAGCGGGGAGGAAGGCGGUGAGGUUAAUAACCUCAUCGAUUGACGUUACCCGCAGAAGAAGCACCGGCUAACUCCGUGCCAGCAGCCGCGGUAAUACGGAGGGUGCAAGCGUUAAUCGGAAUUACUGGGCGUAAAGCGCACGCAGGCGGUCUGUCAAGUCGGAUGUGAAAUCCCCGGGCUCAACCUGGGAACUGCAUUCGAAACUGGCAGGCUAGAGUCUUGUAGAGGGGGGUAGAAUUCCAGGUGUAGCGGUGAAAUGCGUAGAGAUCUGGAGGAAUACCGGUGGCGAAGGCGGCCCCCUGGACAAAGACUGACGCUCAGGUGCGAAAGCGUGGGGAGCAAACAGGAUUAGAUACCCUGGUAGUCCACGCCGUAAACGAUGUCGAUUUGGAGGUUGUGCCCUUGAGGCGUGGCUUCCGGAGCUAACGCGUUAAAUCGACCGCCUGGGGAGUACGGCCGCAAGGUUAAAACUCAAAUGAAUUGACGGGGGCCCGCACAAGCGGUGGAGCAUGUGGUUUAAUUCGAUGCAACGCGAAGAACCUUACCUGGUCUUGACAUCCACAGAACUUUCCAGAGAUGGAUUGGUGCCUUCGGGAACUGUGAGACAGGUGCUGCAUGGCUGUCGUCAGCUCGUGUUGUGAAAUGUUGGGUUAAGUCCCGCAACGAGCGCAACCCUUAUCCUUUGUUGCCAGCGGUCCGGCCGGGAACUCAAAGGAGACUGCCAGUGAUAAACUGGAGGAAGGUGGGGAUGACGUCAAGUCAUCAUGGCCCUUACGACCAGGGCUACACACGUGCUACAAUGGCAUAUACAAAGAGAAGCGACCUCGCGAGAGCAAGCGGACCUCAUAAAGUAUGUCGUAGUCCGGAUUGGAGUCUGCAACUCGACUCCAUGAAGUCGGAAUCGCUAGUAAUCGUAGAUCAGAAUGCUACGGUGAAUACGUUCCCGGGCCU